UACAGAGGGUGCGAACGUUGCUCGGAAUUACUGGGCGUAAAGCGCGUGUAGGCGGCCCGGCGAGUCGGGUGUGAAAGCCCGGGGCUCAACCCCGGACGUGCACUCGAGACUGCGGGGCUGGAGGCCUGGAGAGGCGGGCGGAAUUCCCGGUGUAGAGGUGAAAUUCGUAGAUAUCGGGAGGAACACCAGUGGCGAAGGCGGCCCGCUGGACAGGACCUGACGCUGAGACGCGAAAGCGUGGGGAGCAAACAGG
rnacentral:rRNA from 1 species